rnacentral:rRNA from 1 species
AGAGUUUGAUUAUGGCUCAGAACGAACGCUGGCGGCAGGCCUAACACAUGCAAGUCGAGCGCGCCCUUCGGGGUGAGCGGCGGACGGGUUAGUAACGCGUGGGAACGUACCCUUUGGUGGGGAAUAGCCACUGGAAACGGUGAGUAAUACCCUAUGAGCCCUUCGGGGGGAAAGAUUUAUCGCCAAAAGGAUCGGCCCGCGUUAGAUUAGGUAGUUGGUGGGGUAAUGGCCUACCAAGCCUACGAUCUAUAGCUGGUUUUAGAGGAUGAUCAGCAACACUGGGACUGAGACACGGCCCAGACUCCUACGGGAGGCAGCAGUGGGGAAUCUUGGACAAUGGGGGCAACCCUGAAUCCAGCCAUGCCGCGUGAGUGAAGAAGGCCUUAGGGUCGUAAAGCUCUUUCGCCUGUGAAGAUAAUGACGGUAGCAGGUAAAGAAACCCCGGCUAACUCCGUGCCAGCCGCGGC